rnacentral:lncRNA from 1 species
GGUAUCAUAAAUAUUAAUAUUUUAUUAUAUAAAUUUAAUUUAACUUGAGAUGUUUUGACUCUCUAAGAUUCUUUAAAUGACUUAUAAUUUACAAUGAAAGGAGUACUUACGCAUUUAUAUAAAAACUUCUAUAUCCUAUCAUAUCUCUGCACCGCAGCGAACGGUAGGCGUAUCAUAGUGGAUCGAAGUUUAGGUGCUAAACCAAACGCGAGCAUGUUUUGUACCAGUUCCAGCAUAAACAACACUUCUCUUUCUGCUAAAAUGAGAUAAAAGGUCCAAAAUACCCUUUUAUUUCUUAUUUUUACUUUUCUUUUAAAUUCUUUUUUAUUUUAUUCUUACCCUCGCUCUAUCACCGAUGCACGCAGAGCCAAGAUAGGAGUACCGGCCUUCUUUGUCCAAAAAAAAAAAAUCGGUUUUCUCUCUUCCUCCCGUCCCAAUCUGUCUCGCUCAGACGCUCACGACCGCGCAUCUGCUUCCUCGCGCCUCCCCGUGUCGAGGCCGCGGCUCUUGGCGCCUCCACAGUCGUGCGCAUCGCCCUGCCCCCGCAUCUCGCCGCCGCCGCCGCCGCCUCCCCGCAUCGUGGCUCUCGCGGUGGAGCCGAGUCCCGGAUAGCGCGUUUUUCAGGCGAGGUGGAGCGGAGCUGCAAGAUUUUUCGUUACAUCAAUUUUUAGACAUAUCUAUACCUACUAAUAAAUUGUAAAAAUUUCAGUCUGCCUUUCCAACCAAUCUGUCCGGCUGCGUCCCGUCUAUCUCUUGUCCGGCCCGUGGCAAGCUGAAAAAUAAAUAAAAAUUUUUCUAUAGUUCUUUCUGUACAUAGCUACAAAACUGUUCGCCAUAUGCAAAUGCGUCCGUAGC